rnacentral:lncRNA from 1 species
AUAGUACAAGUUUAUAUAUCAGGAUAAAAAAAACAAAUAUUGCCUUUCAAAGGGCUUAUUACUUAAAAUAUAGUGCAACAGACUAAACUAAAAGCUCAUAAUGGAAAAUUUAGCAAGCAACAAGUUAAAAAAACAGUGUGAGCAAAAAGAAGAUUUGGAACAUAAAUACUAACCACAAGCAGAAGUACCACUCUGAGAUGCAAUAUGCUUUGUUUGGUUGCAUCAUGAGUUUCUCCCAAUGCCUCAAGAGCCUUCAACAUAAGCAUCAACCCAUGUUGCUUUAUGGUCAAUUCCCCUAGAGCCCCAUCCAAUUCCAAAGUUAUCUGCAAUGCUCUAUAUUUUGGUCAGCUUUGGACAAAAAAGCAUGCUCAAAACCUGUGAUAUACCCCGGUGUCACGUCGAGCUUUUAUAAGCAAUUUCAUCCAUGGUCAAAGAGGCACCUCUAUUUGGCACAUAUCGGAACUUCAAACUUUUUCUUUAGUAAGUCGUUCUACCUUGUCUCAUUUUUACUCCGCAAACAACUUAAUGUGGUAUUAUUACUACUAAGACCAUAUACUGUGUGUGUGACAGAUAAUAACAAUGCAACAGCAUACUCUGUGUGUGAUAGAUAAUAACACAAUGAAACAGCAUAUAUCAUUGACAAUAUUUUAAAAGAAAUUAGAUUAUUGAUGCAGAAUUCGAUUUCAAAUCAAAAUUCACCUAUAAUAGGAAAAGAAAUCAAUUACGUAAAAGAAACUAAAGAAAGUGAUAGCACCCAUCUGAAAUCAAAAUUUUACUUGAGCAUAAAAAAACAGUUGAAAGAUAUUGUCAUACACAUUUUGUAGCUGCUUUUAGUAUACAUGUUCAUACUUCACACCAAGUGUUCAUAAAUGGACGCUUUAGCAGCCACGGAAGGUUAUAUUAACAGAACAUUUACAUUUAGUGAAGUUUAAGUAACUCUGCCACUGAAAUCCAUAAGUGAGUAAAUAUUUAGCCCUACAAACAGCAAACAAAAGCAUAUGAAUUUUAACUAAGAACAACAAGUAUUACCAAAACAAAUUCUCAGUAAAACAAAUUUAAAAAAAUGCCCAUAGUUUCAAAUUUCAGAAUUUGAUUUUUUUUUACAUAUAUUUUGAAUGACUAAUCACUCUAAAUACCAAAUUAGAUAAACAAUGAUGAUUUAGCAGAAAUAGAGUUGACAGUACAUUAAGAUCAACAAAUGUAAUUUAACAUACAAAUGUAACUGGUCAUUAGAGAUUGAGAGGUAUAAAAAUCGAUGUAUUUCCAUGGGUUGCCCUCGUUCAGAAUAUCAAAUCAAACAAUAAAACCGCAGUCACAAUUAUAGGGAAAAGAAAAAGGGAAACAAUUAAUCAAGGAAUCACCAAAUUAACAUUUAAGAAAGAAUAAGAUGCAUGUCUAGAUCUUACUGUAGUGGGAAAUGCCGCCAAUUAACGACUUCUGCCGCUAGAUUCAAGCUUCUAAUUCUAGCCCCAGAUGAAAAGAGAGCGCAUGCAAGAGGGAAAUCGGGAGUGUGUGGACGGGGGAAUAGAAUGAAACAACGACGUACUAACUAAUAUUAGUAACUUUUAAUAAUUAAUAAACUUUCAAAUACUCCCCAAU